ensembl:lncRNA
GUUUCCUCGAUCUCUCCUCGUGUUACCCACUCUCUCUCCUUUUCUCUCCACAGGUAUCAACUUGGGCACAAUAGCACAGUUAGUUUGCUUUGAAUGGCUCUCACCUCUGGGCUGGACACAGCGUACUGUAAGUACAGGUUUCCUCUGUUUCUCCUUGUGUUACUCACUCUCUCUUUCCUUUUCUCUCCACAGGUAUCAACUUGGGCACAAUAGCACAGUUAGUUUGCUUUGAAUGGCUCUCACCUCUGGGCUGGACACAGCGUACUGUAAGUACAGGUUUCCUCGAUCUCUCCUCGUGUUACCCACUCUCUCUCCUUUUCUCUCCACAGGUAUCAACUUGGGCACAAUAGCACAGUUAGUUUGCUUUGAAUGGCUCUCACCUCUGGGCUGG